GGACUACCCGGGUAUCUAAUCCUGUUCGCUCCCCACGCUUUCGCUCCUCAGCGUCAGUAUCGGCCCAGAGACCCGCCUUCGCCACCGGUGUUCCUCCUGAUAUCUGCGCAUUUCACCGCUACACCAGGAAUUCCAGUCUCCCCUACCGAACUCUAGCCCGCCCGUAUCGGCUGCAAGCCCACGGUUAAGCCGCGGGUUUUCACAGCCGACGCAACAAGCCGCCUACGAGCUCUUUACGCCCAAUAAAUCCGGACAACGCUCGCGCCCUACGUCUUACCGCGGCUGCUGGCAC
rnacentral:rRNA from 1 species